UGUUUGGGCGUGCGAGCGCAGGCGGUUUUUUAAGUCUGAUGUGAAAGCCCUCGGCUUAACCGAGGAAGCGCAUCGGAAACUGGGAAACUUGAGUGCAGAAGAGGACAGUGGAACUCCAUGUGUAGCGGUGAAAUGCGUAGAUAUAUGGAAGAACACCAGUGGCGAAGGCGGCUGUCUGGUCUGUAACUGACGCUGAGGCUCGAAAGCAUGGGUAGCGAACAGGAUUAGAUACCCUGGUAGUCCAUGCCGUAAACGAUGAAUGCUAGGUGUUGGAGGGUUUCCGCCCUUCAGUGCCGCAGCUAACGCAUUAAGCAUUCCGCCUGGGGAGUACGACCGCAAGGUUGAAACUCAAAGGAAUUGACGGGGGCCCGCACAAGCGGUGGAGCAUGUGGUUUAAUUCGAAGCAACGCGAAGAACCUUACCAGGUCUUGACAUCUUUUGAUCACCUGAGAGAUCAGGUUUCCCCUUCGGGGGCAAAAUGACAGGUGGUGCAUGGUUGUCGUCAGCUCGUGUCGUGAGAUGUUGGGUUAAGUCCCGCAACGAGCGCAACCCUUAUGACUAGUUGCCAGCAUUGAGUUGGGCACUCUAGUAAGACUGCCGGUGACAAACCGGAGGAAGGUGGGGAUGACGUCAAAUCAUCAUGCCCCUUAUGACCUGGGCUACACACGUGCUACAAUGGAUGGUACAACGAGUUGCGAGACCGCGAGGUCAAGCUAAUCUCUUAAAGCCAUUCUCAGUUCGGACUGUAGGCUGCAACUCGCCUACACGAAGUCGGAAUCGCUAGUAAUCGCGGAUCAGCACGCCGCGGUGAAUACGUUCCCGGGCCUUGUACACACCGCCCGUCACACCAUGAGAGUUUGUAACACCCGAAGCCGGUGGCGUAACCCUUUUAGGGAGCGAGCCGUCUAAGGACAAAUGAUUUGAAGUCGUACGGGGUAACCGUAA
rnacentral:rRNA from 2 species